UACGUAGGGUGCGAGCGUUGUCCGGAAUUAUUGGGCGUAAAGAGAACGUAGGCGGUUUGUUAAGUUUGGGCUUAAAGACUGGGGCUCAACCCCAGGAGUGGCUCGAAAACUGACAGACUAGAGGAUGGCAGAGGAAAGUGGAAUUCCCAGUGUAGCGGUGAAAUGCGUAGAUAUUGGGAGGAACACCAGUGGCGAAAGCGACUUUCUGGGCCAUUCCUGACGCUGAGGUUCGAAAGCUCGGGGAGCAAACAGG
rnacentral:rRNA from 1 species